rnacentral:rRNA from 1 species
UACAGAGGUCCCAAGCGUUGUUCGGAUUUACUAGGCGUAAAGGGUGCGUAGGUGGUGAGGUAAGUCUGAUGUGAAAUCUCCGAGCUUAACUCGGAAAUGGCAUUGGAAACUACCUUGCUAGAGGGUUGGAGGGGGGACUGGAAUACUUGGUGUAGCAGUGAAAUGCGUAGAUAUCAAGUGGAACACCAGUGGCGAAGGCGAGUCCCUGGACAACUCCUGACACUGAGGCACGAAAGCUAGGGGAGCAAACAGG